GGGAACUACGAGCCAAGCUUAAAACCCAAAGGACUUGACGGUACCCCAUAUCCACCUAGAGGAGCCUGUCCUAUAAUCGAUAACCCCCGUUUAACCUCACCAUCCCUAGUUUAUCAGCCUGUAUACCUCCGUCGUCAGCUUACCGCAUGAGCGUUAGUGGGCUCAAAGUUUUUUCAACUAUACGUCAGGUCAAGGUGCAACAUAUGGAAUGGAAAGAGAUGGGCUACACUUUCUACUUUAGACCACACGAAAAACUACUUAUGAAACCUAGUUAGAAGGCGGAUUUAGAAGU
rnacentral:rRNA from 1 species